rnacentral:rRNA from 1 species
GUAUCCUGGCUCAGGACGAACGCUGGCGGCGUGCCUAAUACAUGCAAGUCGAGCGGACGAAUCGAAAGCUUGCUUUUGAUUCGUUAGCGGCGGACGGGUGAGUAACACGUGGGCAACCUGCCCUGUAGACGGGGAUAACACCGAGAAAUCGGUGCUAAUACCGGAUAACACGAAAUGUCGCAUGACGUUUCGUUGAAAGACGGCGCAAGCUGUCGCUACAGGAUGGGCCCGCGGCGCAUUAGCUAGUUGGUGAGGUAACGGCUCACCAAGGCGACGAUGCGUAGCCGACCUGAGAGGGUGAUCGGCCACACUGGGACUGAGACACGGCCCAGACUCCUACGGGAGGCAGCAGUAGGGAAUCUUCCGCAAUGGACGAAAGUCUGACGGAGCAACGCCGCGUGAGCGAAGAAGGCCUUCGGGUCGUAAAGCUCUGUUGUUAGGGAAGAACAAGUAGCGCAGUAACUGGCGUUACCGUGACGGUACCUAACGAGAAAGCCACGGCUAACUACGUG